GAUAAUUGCCUAUAUACCCCUCAUGCGUUCAAAAAUAUCCGAUUUACUCUUACUUUUUUUUUCUUUCUAAAAUGCCCCUCAUAUGUUCCACCGUUAUUCCAAAAUACCCCCGCAGUUAUCCCCUGUUAGCUUAACUUGGGUUAAACAUGAGUUAAAUAUAUACUAGAGUUAAAACCUACAUAAAAUACCUAUUUUACCCCUAACUUAUUAUGCCAAUUCCUUAAGUUAUCCUCUUUCUCUCCCAAAGUCCAAACUUGAUCGCCGGCUCCUCCGCCUCCAUGUCGCCGGCUCCCGCUGCCGGCGGGGCGGAAGCGGCGGCGCCUCCUGAGCACGGAGAGCGGGUUCUUCGCCCUCGCCAAGACCUUCGCCGCAGGCAUCAUCCUCGCCACGGGCUUCGUCCACAUGCUCCACGACGUCGAGGCCGCGCUCACUUACCCCUGCCUCCUCCGCUUCCCCUAGCGCUGCUUCCCCUUCUCUGGCUUCGUCGCCAUGGCCGCCGCCCUCGCCACCCUCGUCCUCGACUUCCUCGCCACCCAGUUCUACGAGCGCAAGCACCGCGCCGCCGCCACCGCCGAGACCGACGCCACUGCAGAGGACGACGAGGGGCGCUCCAUCACCACGGCGGCGCUGGAGCCACCCGUGGACGAGGACGAGGACGAGGGCUCCGCCAAGGGCGGCAACGCGGUGCACAUCGUCAGGAUGCGCGCGCACGCGGCGGCGCACGGCCACAGCCACCACCACCACGGCCACGCCCACGGCCACGCGCACAGGCACGCGCACGAGGAUGGGGACGAGGGCCAGGUCUCCUUGCAUGUGCGCCACAUCGUCGCCCCCCAGGUGCUCGAUCUAAAGUCUAAACCACCCCUAUUAGCUGUACAUAUCAUCCUGUCACUAAUGACAAUUAUUAAGUAAUUAGCGCUUAAUUAUUUAAUAACUAUGUUCCUGUAAAUCAACUGUCGUGUUUUCUGAUGAUAAUAAUAAUAAUAAUAACUAAUAGAUUUAUUCAUAUAGUAUUUUAUUUUUAUAUAGAAAUAUUAUUAUAUAAUAUUUUAUUUAUAAAUUUGUAAUUAUUUAUUAAUAUUUUUAAAUAUAUAACUCUUAUAUAUUAUUAAUAUAAGUUUAUUAUAAUUUUAAAUAUAUUUAAUCUAUUAUUAAAUAUUAUAAAAAUAAUAUAUAUAGUAUAAUACCGAAUUUUUAAAAAUUAUAUAUAAAAAUUAUAUUUGAUCCCGAAUUUUUAAUUGGUGAAUGUAUAAUACCUGUAUAAAUCACGUAUCCGAAUAACUGCCGAAUCCAUUUUUUAGCCAUAUUUUUCAACGAAUUUAAAAAUUAAAAGACGAAUUUUAUUCGAAUUAUAUCCCUACCGAAUUUUUGCCGAAUCCAAAUUAACUAACUAUGCCUUCAGCUGCCAAAGUUGGUUUAACUGCGAUCGAUCUCGACGUGCUUAAUUAAUUAAUUUAUAUUUGAAGGGCAAAUAAGAAAAAUAUUUGCUAUAUAAAGGGUAUAUAAAAAAAGUUAGUUACGGUAGAAGGAUAUAUUGGAAUGGGCAAAAUGGUAAUUUUACAGAGAUAACGGUAGCUCACUAACGGAGCUUAACUCCAGGGGUAUAUUAGAAAGACUUGGAACAUAAGAAGGGUAUUUUCAAUAUUAGCCUUCUAAGAGGGGUAUAUAGGCAAUUGCCCCAUUUAAUUAAUGAUGAGAAGUAGUUUGGGGCAUUCUUUUUUGUCCUCAUAUAUCGUACGUUCGUGUUUUUGACAAAUAGAGAAGCAUACACCCUUCAUUUUAUUUUCGGAUAAACUUCAAAUAUCAUUUUCAUAAUUUUACAAUUUCUCAAUCCUGUGGUUUUAAUUUUUCGUUAAAUUGCAUACAAAAAACUUCAGAUGCCCUAUCGAUGUAUACUUUAUCGAAUAUUCACUCUAAUAUUCUUUAAUUUUAACUUUUCACUAAUUUGGCGAAAAAAAUUAAUAUGAGAGGAUAACAAAAGAAUAAAAAUAAAACCACAGGAUACGAAAGUGAUACAUUUUAAACCACAUAAUACUAAAGUAAGAAAGCACGAAACUACAGAGAUGAUAUUUGAAGUUUUUUUUUUCUUUUUUUUUUUUGGAAAACUUCAAAAAACCCUCCUGUGGUUUCACACUUUUUCAUUUUAGUAUCAUGUGGUUUAAAGUUUAUCGAGUUAGUACCUUGUGGUUUUUCACUUUAUCACUUUAGUACCCUGUGGUUUAAAGUUUAUCAAGUUAGUACCUUAUGGUUUUUCACUUUAUCACUUUAGUACCCUGUGGUUUCACACUUUAUCACUUUAGUACCCUAUGGUUUAAAAAACAACAGGGUACUAACUUGAUACAAAAUUAAAACCACAGGGUACUAAAGUGAUAAAGUUCAAAACCACAGGGUACUAACUUGAUAUACUUUAAACCACAAGGUAUUAAAGUGAUAAAGUGAGAAACCACAUGGUACUAACUUGAUACAUUUUAAACCACAGGGUACUAAAGUGAAAAAAAUUGAAACCACAUGGGGUUCUUUUGAAGUUUUCCCUUUUUUUUUUCUUAUCCAAACAAGUUGUACUAGCUUCUCGUUAUUGACAUAUAGAGAAACUUAACGCCCUUCAUUCUGAAGUUUUGUGUGCAUCAUGCAUUAAAUAAAACUGAUGUUCCGGAGCUCGAUCUCGCCAUAGUAUGGAAGGCGUUUUUAUUGUCCACAUGUAUUGUAUCUCGCGGUUGCUGACAGGUCAAAAAACAGACGCCGCUUAUUCUGCACUCCAGUCAUCAGAUUGGAGGACUGCUGUGAUGAUCCAAAGCAUUCACAUAAUUACUUGACAAUAAAGAGAAAUAGGCGUAAUUUACAUAUUAUAAAUAUAUGUAUAUAUAAUUGGUGUUUUCAGUCGUUGGAUGAAGAGAUGUGCGGGUAGGAUGAUAGUAGUCUCUGGUUAGAAUGAUAGCGGUUCUCUAGAAUUGAAUGAGCGGUUGGCUGAAUAAUUUGUUCUAACAGAUGGAAAUAGUCAAAAUAGUAGAUCUAAUUAAUGGACGAAAACUUAUGAGUAUAAAGAGGUUUAUAUUCAUAAGAAUAUAGUAAUCAGACUCUUAGACUGGAAUUAAUGUUUUUAAUAGCAUAAGUCAUUGGUACUAUUAGGUUUUCCAUACUUGGAUGAAAGAAUGUGCGGUCAAAAUAAUAGUAGUCCUCUAGGGUUGAGUAGUACAAUCUAACCGAUAGAAAUGAUCAGAAGAGUAAAUCUAAUGGUGGAAAACUUGAUAGUAUCAAGUGUUUGGUGCUAUUAAAAGUACUCCAGUCGAACUCUCUUUCUCUCUCUAUAUAUAUAGACACACAAGAAUAAAUUUGAAAAAGAUUGGAUGAGGAAGGGCUUAAUGCUAGAACAUUUCUUUGGACUUGUUGGAAAUUUAAGGGCAGCGGAAGCUUACAAAUUGGAUAGUUCAUGUAUCCAAGAACCAGAAUCGGAUCGGAUUGCUUGUUUUACUAGCCUGCUUGGAUUGCCCUGAUCUCGAUGCUUCUAGAUCUCCCACGUAUCUCUGCUUCUCCCAUGCCUACGCCUCGUGUCACGGAUCGGAUGUGUUGGAUACGAAUGGGGUGCAAAUCGGAUGCAAUGUAUGCCAAUCGAAGAGGGCUAGAAGAGUCCUCUUUUAUAUUCACACUCCAAAACCUCAGAAAUCUAGGUAGAAAUUCCAGAGAGAAAGAAAAGAGAUAAGAAGAAAGAUUGAUCGUAGAUUCUCUUAGAUCGAAUUAGAUCGUAAGAUACGGAAGAGAAAAGAAGACGUAUUUAUAGAAUAACGGAAUCCCUUAAAAUAUCCUGAAUCUCUAUGUGAAAAUAUCCUGAAUCUCAAUAUGAUAUGAAAGAGAAAUGAAGACGGAUUUAUAGAAUAACGGAAUCCCAUAAAAUAUCCUGAAUCUCACAUAGAGAUAGCAAGUGUUUUGGUGCUAUUAAAAGUGACGGCCCCAGUCAGAUUCUGUCUCUCUCUAUAUAUACACACAAGAAUAAAUUUGAAAAAUAUUGGAUGAGGAAGGGCUUAAUGCAAGAACAUUUCUCUCGACUAAUGACCUAUUAAUUAGUUUCGAAUAUUUCGCAGGUUAUAUUGAGAUUAAUUACUGGUUAGGAUGAAGUGCAUCAAACUAUUUUAAAAUCUCACCAAGAGAUCCUUAUAUAUAUAUAUAUAUAUAUAUAUAUAAUAAUUCUUGUUGUACACGAUCAAUCUCCACAGUGUAAAUUAAAUCAAUUCCUAAUUAAUUUUUCCUAUUAAGAAAAUGACCUUCGAUUUGUCCAUAAACUAUUUGAAAAUGAUAGAAUGGCUACUCUAGCUAUUAAUUGUAGAAUAGAAAUUUGAACAAUGCCUAGUUCAUUUAUGGCCAUGCUUAAAUACAUUAUUAGUUAAUUAUUGCUUUACGACGCGUUCAGGUGUAACUAUCAAAUUAAUGAUUUUUUUUUAUCUAGAUCUAUCCAAUUAUUCUUUUUAUUUAUCAAAGAUAGAAGAUUCAAAUUGAAUUUUCUCCAAUUCAAAUUUUUGUUGUAAUUAUUCCUCAAAUUAGUUGUUUUUUGUUUAAAUAGAAAAGUAAUUUUAUCCACAAAAGCAAUAAAUAUAUAUAAGCCUUUAAUGGCAAAGUGAGAUACUGCAUGCCGACUAUCUACGUAACGUAUUUUGUUUAUAAACUUUUUUUAAUCGUUUAUGCGUAUAUUUAUGUGAUCCAAUUGUCGUUCGCUUUGAUUAUUUUAUCUAAUUGAAUUUGACAAACUUGUAAUCAUCCUAAAUAAAAUCAUAACCCCAACAAAAAGGCAACAUCAUCUGAGGCUUUUAUAAUUGAAGUUCAUAGGGACAUUGAUGAUCAUUGUUAAUUAUUUUGAUUUGAUGAGCACUAGAGAUAGUGACAGUAACUAAUAAUGCAAAUGUUAUUCACAUCAAUCAUUUAAUACCUCAAAUGAUUAACUUAGAACAUUGAGUACAAGUAUUAGCAGUUAUAUUUAUGUUCAUAGUGUAUUUAUUUAUUUGUUAAUAAUUGGUCAUGCGGUGUGUUAUCUUUCAUUCAUUGUUGGGAACAUUAGAUUGGUGCUAAAAAAAAAAAUUUUUUUUUCUAUAAUUCGCUUCCUUCGAGUUUCAUAGUUCAUUUCAUGCGCUAAAAUCAGAUUAGAAAAAAUUUUCUGUGAUUCUGAUAUCUCAUGUAAAAUAUUUAGAAGCCAAUUAAACAUUACUAAGUAGGUACACUUUAUAUAUCAUGCUUUUAACUUAAUUAAUAAUUCUAAAAUAUUAUUGGCCUAACCUUCAUAGUGUGACAAAUUAUUCCAUGAUUGGAUACUGCAAUACAUAGUGAUAUAUAUGUAUGUAGUUUUAAGUGAUUGAUGAUAAUUAAAUAAGGCUCAAUAGUCAACUAGUGUACCUUUCAAAUUAUUAUUGUUAUUAUUAUUAAUCAAAGAGCAAAUAAUAAUUUGAUUAUUAUUAUUAAUCAAUUAUUAUUAUUAUUACUUUUAAUAUUUUCUUAAAAAACUAAUCGACAAAAUAAAUGUAUAACUUUAUAUUUCAGAUAAUUUUAAACAAUAUAAUUAUGUGAAUUAAAUAUUGGAAUAGCACAUAUAUAUACUCAAUUAUAAUAUUUUAUAAUGCAAACAAUCUCGUCUCCCUUAAUUCUUAAAAAAAUGAGAAGAGCACAAAAAAUUACAAAACAAAGAGAACCGACCAAUGACGUCACGUUUACAUUUUAGGCAUUUAUAAUGCAGUCCCAAGGGUAGAAAGGUAAUUUCAUUCCAGCUGAUAUCAAAUCUGUCGGGUUCGGGGACGGAUUUUCAAAAACACCGCGCUUGAGCCGGACUCCAAAUUCGAACCUGAACCCGAACCCUACCGAAUAUUCGAAACUUAAAAUUGAAUCCGAGUCUGAAAAUUCGAAUCAGAAAUAAUUAUUUCUCUUUUCAAUAUUUCAAAUAUAUAUAUAUAUAUAUAUAUAUAUAUAUAUAUAUAUAUAUAAUGUAAAAUGAAUUCAGGUUCGAGUUCAGAUCAGGUACAGUCGAAAUUCAUAUUUGAAUUCAUAUCCGUCAGAUUUUUAUUUUUGAUAUCUAUAUUCGAAACCAUAUCCAUUUAGCAUCGAGUAAAUCCGCUUCGUUCGAGUUCGGGUUCAGAUAAAAUUUCGAAUAUCCGUACCUAUUGACAUCCCUACAAACGGGAUACGUCUUGCCUAAUUCUUCAUUUUUGUCUCUAAUAUUUUUUUUAAAAAAUAAGAACCUUAAUUUUUAGGAUUAAUUAUGUUAUCUGUCUCUAAAAAAAAUACUCAUUUAUUUUUUUUAUCUGAUACGUAUGUUCAUGGCGUUAAGCCUAUUCUCACCAUCUUCAAUGGCGUCCUUAGCCCCUACAAUCAUAGCGACCUCGCACACGAUGCCUAUUGCCUUUCUGCAGCAUCCAACAUUCUCGGUACCGAUCCAAAUAUGCCACCAAACUUUUUCAAAAAUUUAGAAAAGUUAGUAUCGAAACUGAUCGAGAACUGUUAAACCAUAAUUUUGGCAUGGAUACAUAAGCGAUGCUUUAUUGGAACUUAAAUGUAACAAAAUAUAACAGUUUAGAAUCUAAUCGUCAAAAAAGAAAAUGAAGAAGAAGAAACUCUAGCCCCUACGACCACACCAAUCACGCACACCAUGGCUACUAUUUUUCUAGGGUUUCGUCUCGGCAUUAAGCCAAAUAUGCCGUCAAGCUCUUUAAAAAAUUUUAAAAAUAUUAAUACCGGGGCUGAUCGAGAACUACCAAAUGAUAAUUAUAAUUUUAAUAUCUAAGCAGUGCUUUAUCGAACUAUAUGUUAUUUAUUCCGUCAAAAUUAAUAAAAAUUAGGGUGAUCGAAAUCUAACGGUACUAACAAUCUAAUCACAAAAACAAAAAAAAAAAAUCUUAGGGACUCUUCAUAAAUUUUCACCUAAAAAUAAAAAAUAAAAAAAGUAGGUAAUUUUUUGGGGAGGGGUUAUAAACAAAGCAACGCACGUGGGAGAUCGCACCGCAUCGCUUUUGCAAACACGUGACUCGCUCCCUCCGGGAGCGUGAUUUCACUUUGUCUGGGCCACGUGUCGACUUAUGAGUGGUUGGUUUUACGUACUUAUCCUCCGUAAAGCUCGCUGAGUCGGAUUCCACGUACAACGUAGCUCGUAUUGGAUAGAUUGUCCCACGUGGCUGAACGAGGAGCUGACACGUGGAGACCUCGUCACCGACCAUUUUUGGCCACAACACAACAUGUUCUUGGGUACUGAAUUUUUUUUUUUUUUUUUGGUGUGUGUGCGCGCGCGUGUGUUUGUGUGCGUUGUUCAAAAUUUUUAUUUAUAGGUUGUACAAAAUCUACACCGUCCAAGAUAUUGUGUUAGCACCAAAAUUUUGAAUUAAACUGGACUAAAUGGCGUUGCGCCAAGAACAAAAGGUUUAACCUUUUUGUCGACAAUCUGGUGGGUCAUUUGGACAGAGAAGAACAAUAUUAUCUUCCGAAUAAAAUUCCACAACUCUUUCCGGUCGUUGGAGCGUGUCAAACUCCUGAUGGCCUCUUGGAACGAGAUCCACUGACCGCUGAUCCCGUUCUCCUUCAACUGUUUUUAAUUCCUUUAAGUUUAUUUCUUUCUUUAAUUUUUUUCUUUUACUUUUAUACCUUUUUUUUCUCUUUUUUUUUUUCUCAUUUUUUUCUCUUACUUAUGUUUCUCUCCUUUUUCUUCAGAAGCUCUAACUGUUUUCACACCCUGUAUGCUUAGUUCAUUUUCCUUAAUGAAUGAUGCGGGCAGCUCGCUACCUUUCUCUCUCAAAAAAAACAAAAAUAAAAACAAACUUGUCCAAUUUGUGUACAUAAAUGUGAUUUGUUAAUUUUACCCUAUGAAAACCUAUAAAACAUACAAUGCAAAUUAUACCUGAAUAGAUGGACGACCACCACUGAGUAAUGCAAUUAGUUAGUAUUUCUGGUUGUCGUUCCUGCAUGUUGAAUAUAAAUAUUAAAAACAUCAUUCAAUACGAUUACUUUAUAUUAACUUAGGUAAUUAAAUGGGAAACACAUGGAGCCCACAUUUUCAUUCACUUAAGUGGUGCUCCAAUGAAGUGAAUGUCACCCCACAUAAGCACGGCAAUGUCUCUUUACCAAACCUAAAUGAUCAGGCGAGGUCCCCAUCGUCUCUCUUUCAGAAGGAAAGUUUUUAUUUUUUAUUUUUAAUUUUAUUUUUUUUUUUGUUUUAUGGAGUUCAUAUGGGUGCAAGGCAGGUAAAACAUCUACAAACAUGGGAUACAAAUUUAAGUUUUUAGAGAACACAAAUUAAUCUCGAUAAGUUCUGAGUUUGAAUUUUAUACAUCUCGAUUUAAAUUUUCAUUUUAACUUUAAAGAGUAUAACACACCACAUAAACAUUCUGCGUAGGCCAAUCAACUACCUAUCUAUUGUUUUCGCCAGUUUUCCUCUCGCAUCUGUACGUCGAUCAUCUGAAAACAAAAUGACACGAACAUUGCUAAACUGAUGAUCCACGGAUUCAUAAUUGAUCACAUGACAAUCGCAUGUUGAUGGACGACGAUGCGAAAAUUAUUGACAAUUUGGGCAAGUGGCGAAGCAUAUUUUUUUGACUAAAAGUUUAGGUGGUCGUUUAUGGAAGUAAGAGUUCAUGCGGCCUUAGCACAUUUUACCUCUAAAAGAAAACCUUCCUCCGCCCAAUUCAUUUCAAAACCAUAUCCUUAUCCUAAAUAUCGAGUCCAGACGUAAGGAGGAAUGCAAAGUACAAGAUAUCAAAGUUAUUAUCUGGCAAUUUGAGUCGUCGAAGAAACUGAUCGAUUCUUUCAGUAUUGGGGCCUAAAGUUUCCAUAAAAAUGUUUAAUCUCUGGUUAAAGCUCAAGAAAGUUCUAAGAAGUAUGAACUCUAGUUCCGCUUACAAUUAGAAGCUUGAGAACGAACUUUCGUUCGCUAAACGUCUGAUCUUUACUUCUCGACCAAAGACGCACUAGCACUCUUUUUUUAUGCUUUGAAAAUAAAAAAGUAAAUAUAGUGGCUUCUCCUUUCCUUUGAGUGUCACCUUUUGAGAGUUGGAGCCUCCUUUUUGGUGAGAUUAAUCACCAAUAAUUGCUGAAGAAAUGCUAGCUUUUUCUUAGUGCUCCCAUUUUUUUUUUAUACUUUUAACCAUUUUUUUUUUUUUAAAUACUCAUCAUGUUGUGCUCCUGCUUUUGCAAUUACAUAUAUAUAAUAAAGAUAUGAAUCCAAGUGAAAUAAGCAAAAGGAAUUCAUUUUGUUCACUACUUAUCCCACCUUAUCACUUAUCCAAUGCAACUAAAUCUCUCCACUUCACGUAACAAUUAUUGGGUCAAAUUAAUUAUUGGCUCCCAUGCACUUAUUGCAGUUUGAAUACUUUUUCGUGUGACAUUAAAAUAAGUGUAUAUAUAUAUAUAUAUAUAUAUAUAUAGGCCAUGGCUACUAUACUAUUAUGAGUAUUGGAGCCCUCGUACUCAUAAGUUGUUUUCAAUAAUGGAACUUCCGAAUCGACGAUCCACUCCGUUAAAUAUGAUCUAGAGUAUUUGAAACUUCUAGAAAAUAAAUUUUGUAAAUUUUCGAAAUCAUAAUAAAGUCCAUCAAAUGGGCAUAAAAUGAACGGUCAAAAUUGAACGACGUCCUAAAAAGGGAUGAUCGGAUCCUUCAAUUCAAGAUCGGAGUUAUUGAUCUUUAUCUAUGUAGUGAAUAGAAUUUUCUAUAAAAAAUUUAACAAAUUCUGAUUCUUUUACACCGUUAAACUAGCAAGUAUCCUAUACCGGCCGUUAAAAAUUAUCAAAUUUGUGACCUUUUGAUCGUAAGGUAAAUGAUGUCGAAAAAUUAUAAAAUUUGAUUUCUAGAAGUUUUAAAUGCUGUAAAUAACGUUUAACGGUGUGGAUCGUCAAUUAUAUAUAUAUAUAUAUAUAUAUAUAUAUAUAUAUAUAUAUAUAUAUAUAUAUAUAUAUAUACACACGUACUCAAACCCGAAAAAAAUGGGGUGUUUAAUAUCUCAUUGAAGAAGAAUAAUUAUUGGGUCAAAAUAAUUAUUGGCUCUCGUACACUUGUAAGGAAAAGGAUGUUUUAUAGACCGAAAUUUAGGGUUUAGGAUUUAAGGAAGGAUCUAAUAAUUGCAUCGGAUACGCGAUCGGGUACGGAUUUUUGAUUGGAGUUGGAUCCGAAACUAACAAGUGUGCAAGAGUUUUAACUCGACAAACUGUUAAUGGUUCUGAAUACAAGAUAUGAUCCGCGCCCAAUAAUUUGGCCCAGAUUCGAAUCCGACUUGCAGCUAUAUGCAUCAUUGUAUUCAUAUUUCUUCUUUUUUUUCCGAUAUUUUUUCUUUUAAUCGGAAGCUUAGUACCCUACUGCAUCUGAAACCCUAGGCCCUCCACUGGGACUCGAACCCCUGACCUCACUCUUUUAUGUUUGUCCUCUGAGUGCAUUACCACUCAGAAGGCAAAUAAUUUGGAAUUUUUCGCAACUCUAUAAGAGAAAUUCUUUCGGAACUGCUUUGUGGGAAAUUACUUAUUUGAUGAAAAUGAUUUGAGCAGUGCAAUUAGAAAAAACACUUUACAUUAAAAUACUCAUAAUAAACUAAUUUCUACAGCAAAAUCGAAAGUAUUAAUUAGGAAUUUCUACUUUUGGGAUUCAGAAUGCCAUUCCUACUUUCCGGUGCAGCAGAAGUUUAAGAUUUCUCUCUUUGCUGAUUACUCUCCCACUGGUUACUGGACUACCAUUUGUUAAUUGCUAACUAAGAGAAAUCCCAGAAAAAGAAAAAUAAAAUAAAAUAAGGAAGUAUAGAAGUUAUUUGAAUUAUGGACUUUUUUUUAUUGGGUUAUCCGAUGUUUCAAUUUAUUUGAUUUGACUCAGUCAAUGAUUCUUUGACAUCAAAUUUUGAACACGUAAUUUAUCUUUACAAAUUUAAUUAAUAUAUUUCACGCAAUUCUCGCGACUAUAAAUUCAUUAAAGUAAAUAAUCAACUUAAAUUUUAAAGUCUUAAGCGCAGUUGAUUAACUCAAAUAAAACAAAUUGAAAGAUUAGAUAGUAAAAUCAAAAUUGUUAAAAAUUGGAUAGCAAAUUCAAAAUGGUUCAAAAUUCAAAUAAGUUUUGUACAUUUUUAUGGGAGAACUUAUCAAUAAAUAAGUAAACUCAAUUGAAGGAUAUAAUAAAUUGCCAAGUAGGUGGGAAGUGAUAUCUGAAAAUUUUAUAAUUACUAUGAUUUUACAAUAGCAUAAAGUUAAGCUCAUUUCACCAGCACCUUAUACAAACUAACUACCAUAUCAUAAUAUUCCAAGGAAAACCCAGUCCACAACCACUUAUCACUGUAUCACUUCUAACAUCCAAACAGGCCCAGAAAAUGAAAAAAAAAGGACCUAACUUGCAGGUUAUAUAGAAACACACACAAACAAAUAAGAUGAAAAUUUAGGAUUCGCAAAGACGAAAAUAAGAGUUCAAUGCUUAAUCUUUAUGCAUUCACCGAGACAUUUUAGUACCACAAAAUCACCCAACUGUUUCUCAUUAAUAUCAUGAAACAUGGAUAGAUUCAGGCGCCGGAAAGGCCAGUCUCAUCCGCAACCAUUAUAGGAGACGCAAUGCAAAGAAUCUCAUCUCAAGCUGUUUUCAUGCACAACAAACCCGAACAGCUAAAAUCUGUUGCAGAGAACCAAACAGAUGCUAAAACAGCCGGCACGACUUAUUCUCACGAGAGUAAAAACAAGAAAUGUAGCCCUUCACGCAAAAUUUAAAAUAGAAGAUCGCGGAGGUCUCACUUGGAAAGACUCUGAGAGAGAAAUUUACUGAUCAUUCUUGCUUUCCUCGUCAUUGGUUGUAUCGUCCUGGAUCACAUCCUCAGCAGCAGGAUUGCUCCCAUCUAACGUUUAAAAACGGAAUAUCUCGUGUUCAGUUUAAAUGGUAGUGGAGGAAAAUUCUGCUAAAAAGCAUCAGAAACAAAAAAAAAAAAAAAAAAGAAAGAAAAUUAUGGAUACCUUCAUUCUCAGUAGAUUUAUAGGCUGAGUGACGAGAACGCACUUGCUGGUGAGGCGUGGGCUGAAGAGAAACAGGAAAGCAUCAAAGUCAAUAUCAAUAUGAAACAGUUUUGGAGACCUUUUUAAUUUCCUGCAAUUAGGUAGUUUUGGCAGGGCUCAGAAUAUACCUGCAAUUUUGGUCGAAGAGCCUCGAGGGGCCCCUUGGGUUUAUUAGGAUUUGCCCCUUGCUGAUUCAGCAGCCAGAGAAAAGUAGAAUUAGAAGAAAAUAUAAACCGUGAAGAGAGCUACGAGAAAAUUUUAAGUAAUACAUAAUUAAAGAUAUUGUACCUUUCCUAAAGCCCAAUCAGCAGAGUCAAAAUAUGCCCUUUCAUGGUCCUGGACAAAGUAUUUCUCUGGAGUGUUAUAAAUGAGGGGGAAAAAAAUGAACAGCUUUUUCUUCUCAGAAUAAUGUAUUUUCAAAUUAUAUGUAUCAUAUCAUUAAUAAAGGUGGUAAUCAUAUUCAGAGAAACAGUAAACACCUUGGAUAUAAGUGGUGGCUUUUUCGGCAAAAUUCCUCCAUACUUCUUCUUCAUUGCUUCCUCCUACGAACAAGAAGGCAUGUAAGAACCAUAUAUGCUAUUGGUGUAUCACUGAAAUGCUAUUAACAGCUCUAACAGAAUAGUUAAUGUGGUACUAUCGACACAAAGAUUUAAUCAAAGGUAAGUAGUUAGAAAAUGUGAUGGAUGCUUAGAAAUAAGAAAAACAAAUUGAAAGAAAAAUUGUCUCACUUCUUCUUGGGGCGAGGGCAUCGCACUCCCUUCAGAAUGGUCUAAAUUUUCUGGAGCUGGCUCAGUCACAUCCGCAUCAAGACUCACUUGGCUAGCGGCAUCAUCAGACUUCAUGUCGGACAUAGUGCACCCAAUAAAUGCCAAGCGAGCUGCAAUCAGAAAUCUAUGGUCAUACAUAAAAACCAUUUUAAGAUGAAUAACAAGAAUAGAUUCGGAGAAAUUCUAGAAUUAGUACUAUAUUUGUUUUUCUCAUCUUUUCCCUCUGUCUGGCAUUUACUUAGAGAGUAAUCUGCCAAAAGUUGCUCAUGAGUAGCAUGAUUCUAAACUACAAAAAGGAAGAGCAAGACAACAUAGCAAGUUCCAUCCAGUUUCGACAUUAUUUUAACCCCACUAGCUUUUAGAGGGUUCACAAAGUUGUAACAUAGAAGUGAACAUCUCCUCGGCUUAGUUCUCUGCAUUUCCUCUUAGUAAUUCUUAUUUAUGUACUAUAAUUCUAAAGAUCAUCAAUCCAAAAGUUGCAUAUAACUCCAAAUAUGCACCCUCUGUGUACUCUAGCACUGUAGCUUCUCGACUACCAAUUGAUGCCUGAAAUACGGAGGGCAUUAGUUUUGAUCUACUAGUAGAUAUUUCAAAAUCUCCUCUCAUCUCUGUUUUCAUGACUGCAGAUCUGUAGUUCGAACUGAGAUUGCUGAAAUUGUUAUGAUUAGACUGAUCAAAAUCAAACUAAAUGACCACAGCCAAAAGAAAAUUUUGGGACUCAUGCAUUAUUAGAUUACAUGACAUGCAUCAAGGAACUUGCCACCAAUACACACACACACACACACACACACACACACACACACACACACACACACACAUAUAUAUAUUGAUAGAAAUAUAUUUUGCAAAAUGUUCUAGGCUUAUACUUAGGAUUCAAAAAAAAAAAAAGAAGUCAUAAAAUCUCGUCGCAUAUGUCCAGUUAGACGUUGGCCAAAGUUGACAUCACCAAGAUCUUGUCAGUUGCAUCUGUUGGAAACAGUAAAUAACCUACAUGAUUUCUAUUGCUUCCAUAAGAUGCAAUCUUUUGCCUAAUCUUCUCAUGAUGAGUCAGCUAUACCAUGUCUAUGACUCUUAAACCAUACCAGAAGGAAGAAGAAACCUAAUAAAAGCAACCUGCAAGCACAAAUAUGUGAACAGCAACUCAACCUAAUCUCAUAUAUCAUGGGGAAACGUCAGAAAUUUGCGAGCCUAAAACAAGGUCUUAGAUUGCCAGGCUUUGCAAGGACAAAUAUAUCUUCUCAUCCUCAGUUGUAAACAUUGCCAUCAUUUAGGGAGCCAUGCUUGUAAAUUUGGUCCAAACUCGGGAAGUUCACACUUAAAUUUACUAAACCAUCAAAAGUCAAACUUACAAUCUUUAAACAUGAUUGUAGACCAUUUAAUUUAAGAUUUAAAAAAACUACAUAUAUUGAUGACUUUUGAUGCAACAUUUUUCUUUUUACCAACGUGUUUAACUACAUUUCAAUGUUGAUGAAUAUUGGCAGGAUGCUAUCAUGGAAGAUCAUAUACAUCAUGCUAAAGCAAGGGAGGGUGCGGGGGAGGAUCGUAUACAUCAUGCUAAAACAAGUGGGGAAUCGACACAUACAAAUGUACCUUCAACUUAAAAUGUCUUUACCAUAUUAAAAUUUUUAACAGUCAUAGACAAUGUUUUACCCCAUGUGGUUUGAAGUAAUCUACACAUACAAAGAUAUUAGAAUUCUUAACAAUCAUAGACAAUUGUUUUCAAUACAUUAGUCCCAAUUUACAUGCUAAUUAUAUCCACUAAAUACUUGGGAAAAAUGUAACAAGGCCUUGUUGAAUACACACCCCACUCUGAAGGCCUCUCAUCUUUAUUUGUUUUGAUUAACACCCCUGAACUGUUGGGCUUUUGUUUUAUUUGAGUAAUUUUAACAGUUACAAAUUCUGUUAAAUUUAGUAACUUUACAAGUUACUGGAUGUUAAUUAUUAGCAGAAUCUACAGCUUUAAAUUUUAACAAAAUCAACAUGGAAUUUAUCAAAAUUCCCAAUUUAAUUGACUUGAAUCACUCAAAUCAAAAAGAAAACAAAACAAAAUGUUAAGGAAUCAUUUUAAAAUAGCCUAUAGUUGAGGGAGCUUUCAUACAUUUUCACCUAAACUAGUCAUACCUCUACUAAUACUUCAGUUCCAUCAACUAAAAUGACCUUAUUAUCUGGGCACUACCAAUGAAUCUUUUGGAUCAUAUUUUAAGACCUUAAGCAAUUAAGGCUACAAGAUAAAGUUUCCGGUCACCUCAAUUUUCAAUAAUAAUAAUUUCAUGCGCUAUCGGUGAAUCUGAGGAUGGUUCCAUCCAGUUGUAAACCAAUCCUAUAAGCUCCAGCAAUUAUUUCUUAAUUGUAGAAGAUCAUAAAGACUAGCUUAAACAUCACCAUUCAUCAAUGGAUUUUCAUACUUAUAAUCGACAGUACUUAGCAUAGUUAGCUAAGGGCUUGAUGGUUGGUAUUUGAGAUUUUAGGUUUUGAAGCCUAAUUGCUUUACAUUUCUAGUUGAGUUCACUUCUAAAAAAAUAAACGAAGCAAGUAGCUUGCUAUCUUUUUCUCUCUCAAAAAAAAAGAAAAUCAUACUUAUAAUCAACUUUACUAAUCCUCAUGCCGCUUUCUCGGCAAAUAAUCAGUCCCUAUCAGCUAGGUUUUCACAAAUUCAAUCAUUUUAUUGGGCAUAUUACAUGAAUUUCAUUUAUAGGGUCACCACAAGCUAGGACAAUAUUUUCUUUCUUUACAGUUAUCCUUAAUUAAUUAUGUAAAGGAACAUUCAUUUAUUUCUAUUUCAUAAACAUUUCGCACGAAAUACUUUGCUCAUAAGGAGAUAAAAAUAUGCAAACUUUUUAGUUUUUAUUCUAAUUGCCUGCAUUGAUGAGUUAGCACACCAGUAUACUAAGGGCCUCUAUAGCAUUGCUUUUGCUUUUGCUUUCAGCGACAGUUACUUGAGAUAGAGUGUUUGGCAAUCAAAGAGGUCUAAAGCAUCUACUCUAGAAGAAGGCGCAAAAAUAAUUUUUAGGCUUAAAAGCAAAAACUCUAAUUUAAAGCUUCUAACUCUUUUCGAGAAAAAAGCUGUUUGGGGGAAACAUCAGAUAGGGCUUCUCCUAAUAUCACUACGUAGACAACACUUUAUCAACCAACACUACACCCCACGGAGGGGCCACAAAUGCCCUGAACAGUGCAAAGACAAACCGUAGACAAUGUAUAAUCAAAUUUACCGAAAAUGGGUAUUUCCAAUCACUCUUCAACUAUCAAAUAGCCAAAAUUGCAUUUUCCCUUAAAUAAAAUGGCCCAAACACUCAAACUUCACAAGAAAAAUACAUCAAAAAUAUAUAAUAUAGAUUAAUUAGAUCCGAGCCUACACAAAACCAGCAUGAAUCUAAUACCAAAAAGAAUCCGUACGUUCCACGCUCUCUCCACCAAAUCCAACCCCGAAGCUUCGAAACAAACACUUCCCCGACCCAAAUUCAACACAAAGAGCAACAACAGUUUCCGUAAUCAACAUUGUUUACACCGCGCUGAUCCAAAAGGCCUCAGAUCAUCAUCCAUCCAUCAGAUUAAAGCAAGGAAAUGGAUAAUUCGUACAUGGAGAAAGAGGGAUCGAGAGAUAGAGAGAGAAAGUGUGUGACUACCGUGGUAAACCCUAGAUCCCCGCAGAAGAUCGCCGGAGAGGAUCCCCGGAGAGCUCGAAGACGAUGGGGGAGAGAGAGAGAGAGAAAGAGAGAGAGAGAGAGAGAGAGGGCGAUAGGGGCGAUGGGACUUUUUGUACAUUUCGAUCCAUCCUACUCAUGCUUUUAUGUAGGGAGAAAAUGUUCCUGGACCUGGUCCACCGUGGACCGGGUGUAUAAUGAGCGGGUUAAUUAAACAAAUAGCAACCCCAACUUUUAGUUUAGUAUCAUUUCGUCCUCCGACUUUUAAGUCGGAUAGUAGUAGAGCUGGUAAUCCAGCUCGCUGUUCGCAAGUCAACUCGUUGUUCAGCUUCAAAUGAGUUCGAGAUCGAUCGCUCGUUAAUAAACAAGUCGAACACAAACUAAAUUUUUAGCUCGAAAAUCUUAACGAGCCGAACACAAAUUGAAAUCAGCUUGCUCGUGCUCGGCUCGAUAUGGCUCAAAUAUAUAUAUAUAUAUAUAUAUAUAUAUAUAUAAAAUUUAUUCUCCUAUUUAUAUAUAUUAUAAAUUUCACAAAUUUAUAUUGUAGGCAACUCAAAUUUAAAGAGACUCAUAUAUUACAAAUUUCUACCAUUUAAAUUUUAGACCAAUCCAAACAUAAAGUAACAUAUAUCUUGUGAAUUUCAAUUAUUAGAUUAAGAGUCUAAUUUUUUUAAUUUUCUUUCAACUUUUUUUUAUUUAGGAUUGACAAUCUAAUUUGUUGUUUGCAUGUCAGCUCGUGUUCAACUUAUUAAUAAAUAAGCCGAAUACGAGCUAAAUUUUUCAAUUCAAUAUUUUAAUGAGCUAGCUCAUGUUUGACUCAUCUAUAAAUGAGCGAACACGAGCCGAACCUAGGUCGUUCAUGUUCCGCUGUUUGACAGCCCCGGAUAAUAGUAGUCCUCAAGCACUCUAAGGCUGAGUUUGGUAAGUUAAUAAAUUUAUUAGCUAUAAAUAUUGUAUAAGGCAAUAAAAAUAUAUUAAUUAAUUAAUUAAAUAUAAAGUAUAAUUUAACUUUGUAAUUAGUUAUAAAUUAUUUUAGUUAUAUAACUAGUAAAAAAAUUAACUAGGAUAAUAGAAAUUUUAAUGAUUGAUUAAUAUAAAUAAAGAUUCCAUGAAUUCAUGAUAUACUAACAAAUAGAUGUGCUAGGUGUAAACAAUAAUUUUUAAUCUAAACUUAAUGAUUGAAAUGAAAAAUUGUUGGAAGUUUAUGAAUCAAUUGUUGGAUGUGACUCAAGUAAUUUAUUUAAGGCAAUUCAUAAAGAUACAGUCAAUCCGAUAGUUAGAAUGUAUCUGGACAUAUUCUUGGUGGAAUUAAAUAUUCUUACAUUAGGUUAUGUAUAUAUAUAAUAUAUACGAGUUCCGAUCUAACUUUAAUCCGAAUUUUCUUCGGGGUUAAAGGAAUAGACUCGAAACAUCCCACUCUUUACAUAUCGUAAACAAAAAUGAACCACAAGUAAAAAUUAUCGUCUGUAAUUCGUGUUUGGAAAUCGAAUGUCGAAAUAAAAAAUUUAGAAUAUAUUUGGAAAGAAAUAUAUUUGCAAAAUAUACGACUCGGAAUAGGAAUGCAAAUGGAUCUGUGUUGGUAAAGCUUCUGUUCCGAUCCAGCUCGAAUUGCGCAAUAAAUAGGAACCAAAAAUAUAGAAAAAUAUAAUUCGUCCCUAAUCUGUUGUCCCGACCCUCAAAAAUAUUGAGUUGGAGGUGGGAGACCCCUUUCUUCACUUGAUCCUUCUCGAUAUAUUAAAAAUUCGUAAAAAAAUCGCUUCUCCUCUGAUUCGAAUGGAGCAAUAAAUGGGGACUAAAAAUAGCGUAAAAAUUAAUAUGCCCCGAAUCUGUCCAGCGCGAUAAGAAACAGGGCGGGUGGUGGGCGAUCCCUCCCGCCUCUGGAUCUGCCUCAUUUGCAUACCUAACUUGGAGGGAUGGAAAUAAAACUUCGCAGGGAGAGGUGUGCAAUUUCAUUGCUUUUCAGGGAUAAAUAUGCAACUAAACCCUUGAGUGAUGCAGUGCACCGGGUCCAGGUAAGAAUAUCUCACGUAUAAAGGGCGUCGUGGGUCGGAUUCGGGUAGCGUAACGUGGAAAAGUGGAUAAAGUGUUAGAGCAUGCAUGUUUUAUAAUAAUUUGAACAAAUCCAGAGCUUAUUUUUGUUAAGGGCUUGUUUUGGGCCUCGGCGCUUCUAUUUUGAGAAGAAUUAUUGAAAUGAAAAAUUAUUAGUAAUUUUUUAAUUUUAUGUUUUUUGAUAUUAUUAUAUUUUACAACAGAAAUAAAAGUUUAAAAUUAAAUCUCUCACUUUUUAAAUUUAAAAUUUUAUUUUAACUUUCCAUAGCAGAAAAAACGGUGUAAUAUCACUUUUAUAAAAGCUAUAGCCACGCAAACUGUUACAUAAUUAACUUACUUUUUUUAUGUAUCACACGGAAUAAAUAAAAGGUAAAAUCGUUCAAAACUUAUCUAAACUACCGACUAUUUUAAGUUGACUAUAUGACCUUUUAAAAUUUUUAUUUUACUAUAUAAUAUUUCUUAAAAAUAUUUUGACUUUAAAAUUUAAAUAUAUCUUCAUAGAUUAGUAAAAACAUCUUAUACAAUUAUUGUAACUAUAAAUUCAUUAAAGUAAUUAACUUACAUUUUAAAAUCAAAAUAUUGUUGACUAACUUAAAUUUAACAAAUUCAAAAAUUAGAUAGUUAUGAGACACGAGAUAAUCCUUUAUAUAAGAUAUAAUAGGGCUAAAAUUCUUAACCGACUUAAGCAUUUUUAGUGGUGGUUAGGCUCAAGAGGUUUAGAGAGUUAAUCGUGCUAGAUCGGAAGUAGUCCUAGGAUGGGUGACCCCUUAAGAAAUUAGGUCGUCAUAAUUGGUACUUGUGAAGAAAAAGAAUAUGAGACCCCAUAUAACCCUAUAUAUAAGAAAUAAUAGAACUAAAACUCUUAGUCCAACUUACGCAUUUUAGAAAAUAGUUAAGCCCAAAAGGCUAAAAAAGUUAAGCGUAUUAGGACGAGAGUAGUUCUAAGAUGGAUGACCCUCUAAAAAGUUGGGGUGUCACAAUAGUAAAAUCAAAAUUUUGAAAAAUAAGAUAGCAAACUCAAAAUGGUUCAUGGACAAAUUCUGAACGUUUUUACCAAAAUAAGCAGCAUGACGAGACAACACAAUGAAAUAACCAAGUCCAGGAGCUAUUACUAUCUCAGAAUGCUUUUUCAACCAUCAUCUAAAACUACCCCUCACAUCAUCAUGAUUUAUUCAAGCACAACCGAUUUACACACCCUACUGCCAUUCAGAACAUCAGAUAUUUCAUUACUGCAUUCAUUCACAUCAAAACAAGAACAAGCAGGGCACGACAGCGAUGCAGACGAUGGCCAAGGUCGCGAUGAAGGAUCCUUGAUCGAACGCCCUCCGCAAAUCUCCGAUCCUCGAGAAAUGUUGGAACGCCAGAAACGCGGCGAUGGCCAAGGAUAUGAUUGCGCCACCUUGGGUUCCCCUUUUUAUGAAAAACCACAGAACAGUGACAAGGUGAACAGGCAAAAUGCGUAAAAAGAAACUACUGGGCGUGUAGUCAUAAUAAUUUUCAUGACCAAUCUUCAUAUCAGCUUAUUCUGAUUGCAAUCAAUAUAUUAAAGAAAAAAAAAAGAAUUUUAUAAUAUGUAAGGCGCGAUGUGGUGCUAAAACAUACGUUUUAAUCCUUGAAUAUACGAAUAUAUUUACCUUAAGCUCAUUGCCUGGUAUGGAGCUGUGAUCACAAGAAGCAUUGCUAUCAAGGGAAGUUCCAAUUCACCUUUAUACAAAGGAAAGAAAUGGCAUUAGUUCCAAGUAAAGAAAAGGGUAAAAAGUGAAAAUAUAGGAACCGGCGAAGCAUACCUGGAAUGAAGUAGAAUAGACGAACCAGAAGCGCCAAAAAAGCAGUCCACAUACCGUACUCACCCCUGUAAAUCAGUACUAGGUGCACAUUUCCAUGAGAAGCUUGCUAGAAAUCAAAUUAGAAAUAUUACAGAGUUUUCUUCUGUUUCAACAAUAAAGCAUUGAAUCUGCUGUCCAACGUAGGAUAUAAGAUAUGAUUAAGGUAAAAAUGUGGCGAGACCCUUCUGCACAUUCAAGUUUAUUUAUUUAUUUCUUAUUGUCCUCUCCCGCAACUUUUGCCACUUCGAUUGAAGUACAUUCCAUUGGUCGUAUUCGGGGAUCCCGUUAAUUAAAACUCUGCUAGUCACUAGCCAUUAAAUAUUAGGGCUUGCUUGGUUCAUGAUUGGAAUAGGGAUGGAAAAUAGAAUUGGAUCGCAUUGGAAUGGGAAAUGGAAUGACAAAUCAUCCAAAAGUGUUUGUUUCAUUAUCGGAACGGAAGUGGAAUGGACAUCUGGCAUGUUGAGAGAGGAUUUUGGUUAAGAGAGAGAAAAGUGAUGAAGGGAGAGGAGGGAGAGGUGUUUGUGAGAGAGAGCUUUGAGUGGUUUACUUUGGAAUGAGCCAAUAUAGAAUUCAAAUUCAGAUUGGGCCAUUCACAUUCCAAGUGGAAUAAAAAUCAAAAUUCAAUUCAUGUGAAACAAACAACAAUUAUCAAAAUCAAUGAAUCUCAUUCCGAUUCCUCAGUCUAAACUAGGGGAACCAAACAAGCCCUUAAAGUAACCCACACUUCUGUCGUUAGCUCAAAAAAGCGCAAAGCUAUUAGCUCUAACAGAAACCCAUAUUUCACUGAAAUAAUUUAAAUCAGAACAGGGAGCAUUUAAUAAAUAAAUAGAUAAACAAAUGUAUACUAGGAGGCCACUAUAGUUAGGAGUUUCUCUACAUUCGUACCUAUAAUGUUAAUUUUCAUUGGUAUAGAAACUCACUUGAUCCAUGAAACAACACUCGCAGGUGCUUGCAAAGCAACAAAUGGAACAAGAAACGAUUUCUGGAUGGGAGUCCCUUUCGCAACCAUUAGUACUCUGCAAAAGAGUCAUCAAAAGAAGCCUUUCAGCAUAUAUCAAAAAGCCAACUAAUCUCAGAGUUCAAAAUGUGCAGGAGGUACAACUAUAAGAAUGAAAUUACAAUCCAUCACCUGAACUAUAAAACAUGGAAAUGCACCACAAAGUCCCCAUUUCCUGUCGAUUUAGCCGUUCGCUAGACAUGUUAUCGCACGUGAGUCAUGCUUCGAGCGAAAUGACCAGCUUGCCAGCAGGUAUUCGGUAAUGUAGCUAGUUUUCCUACCGCACGGCCAAAUUCAUGUAAACAGGCCUUUGUGUGCAAAAUUUCAACUUUCUAGAGUUUUGGCGGCGAAUCGCAAUUCAGGCAAAGUUUAGAUGCUUCCAGAGCUUUCUUUUCCUUUUUCGGAUUUUUUUUUUUGGGGGGUCAAAAUGUGGAGAGAACACCUAAAGUAUUACUUUGGUUUCAAUUUGAGUUUUCAUACUUACUUAAGAUAAAAAUUUUAUCAAAUUUAAUGACUCUAUAUGUUAUUAAUUUUCAAUUAGACUACUUUUAUAUGCUAAACAGUGAUUAAAGGCAUUACAACAGUUGAUGAAAUCAUCCAUGAUUUUGAUAAAAUCCCCAAAUCUUUUGACUAUAAUCACUUGAUUCCACAAAAUUAGAUACAUNUUUUUUUUUUUUUGGAGAGAAGUAGAUGCUAUUAGAAUUCUACAUCAAAAUCUCAGAAAUCAAACGAUCGAUCACAACAACACUAAAAUCCACUUCGCCCGAGCAAUAAUUCGGAAGAGAUUAAGAAGCAAAGAGAUCAAACCCUAAGAAAAAAAAAAAAAAAAAAAAAAAAAACUCACGCAGCGGAGACCGUCGACGCCCACUGCAGAGUCGCGGCGGCGACGGGCGCGGCGGCGUAGCAAACCACCAUCCCCCGGGAACUCCGCCGCCCCCGCCGCGGCAUCCUCGGCGACCCCUCCACCAAACCAACCCUGCAAAACCCCCAAAUCCCCACCUAAUCAAAAACCCAAGCCCUAGCGGAACUAGAGAGCCUCCGAGAUGUCACCUGAGAGGAUUUGCUGCGGCGGCGUUGAUGGUGGUGGCGGAUUGGAGCUUGUUGGGUUGGGGGAGAGAGUGGGGCCGGAGGGGGAAGAGGCGAAGGGUCGCCAUUGGAGGAGGUGUUUGGUUAGGGUUUAGGGUUCGAGGAGGAGGAGGAGGUGUUUGGCUAGGGUUUAGGGUUCGAGGAGGAGGAGGAAGACGACGAGAAAUGGCACGUGGACCGCGCGCGUCGGUUCACGCAUCCCUCGUGUACGGAAUAAAAAUUAGUGGUUAAUUUGCGAUUUAGGCCCUAACUGUCGAUCGAAUCUCGUUUUAAUCCUCAAAUGCAAAAGCACCUAUAAAUAUCACUUUUUUUACCUUUUUUUCUCACUUCUUAAAAUUUGAGAAAUAUUUUUAAGCAGUUACAAUAUUAAUGAAAAAGUCAAAAAGACCUAAUUAUAUUUACUUAUUUAAUUUAAAAAAAUUGAUUUUUAGUGUAGUUUUAUUAUUUUUAAGGUACCAUUUUAGGUAUAAAUUAUAAGAAAUUAGCAAAAUAAUGAUAGAAUCCUGACGAAGGGAGAUAAAUGUAUAAAUUUGAAAUUUUAAGUAGAUAAACUGUAGGUUUUGAAAACAAACUAAGCAGUAAUUUCGAGGUGUUUGGUUUUCAAAAAAAUAUUUCAAAAAAUAUUUAUCUCGGUGGAAAAAUAUAUGCCGUCUAUUUUUUAUAAAAAUUAAUAUUUUAUUUUAACAAUUUUUAUUUAGAAAAUAAAAGCUAUUAAAUAAAGGAGUGUCUUGUAGAAAACUUUUAAUUUUUCCUAAAAAGUAGUUUUCUCUAUUUUUUUUUUCAAAAAACCCAAGAACCAUUCGUUUGAUAACAACAAACAUCCUAUAUGUUUCAUUUAUUUUUUAAAAAAUAAACUUAACUAGAAAUAUAAAUCAACUAAGAUACGAACUUGAAAUUUCGGGUAUCAACCAUUAAAAUUUUUGUCACUUGCGUUAGAGACGGUCUAGCUUGUUGUUCGCGAGCAAAUGUAUGUUUAACUUGUUAAAAAACAAUCCGAAUGCGAGCUAAAAUAUUCAACUCUGAUAGUUUAAUAAGUUAUUUCGUGUUCAGCGUAUUUAAUAAAUAAAUGAAUACGAGUCGGCCUCAACUCGCUCGACACGAGUUGGCUCCUUGUCUCCUUGCCUUUUUUAGCCUUACAUGCCAGAAUGGAUGCAAACGGAGGAAGGUAGCUCAGGUUCACGUGAGUUGUCUUAGGGAGAGACUGUUUAGUUACAUGCAGUUGAUAUUAUAUUAUAAUUAAUUUUAUUUAUUUAUAAAUUUAAAUUCGGUAUCUGAAUGAGCAUAUUUGAUUUUAACUAUUGCAGUUAUAAUUACACGAGAAAGCUAAAUUAAAAUAAUUGAUGAGGAAAAGGAUCAUUAAAGUCAAUAUAUAUAUAUAUAUAUAUAUAUAUAUAUAUAUAUAUAUAUAGAGUUUAGCUGGAAUACUUUUAGAAGUAUUAGCCAGUUAAUACUUCCACUUUUUCUACCGCACGAUCGCAUCACGAUUGGUGCGACAAGAAGCGGGACUUAACAAGACAUUUGUUCGAACGGACGUCAACUUCUCCGUUUUCUACCCCAUCCAAAAAGAAAAGAAGAAAGCAACAGAGUCUUUCCCUCUUCAUGAACAGGAGAAAACCCUCUUCUCAGGUAAGUCCNNNNNNNNNNNNNNNNNNNNNNNNNNNNNNNNNNNNNNNNNNNNNNNNNNNNNNNNNNNNNNNNNNNNNNNNNNNNNNNNNNNNNNNNNNNNNNNNNNNNNNNNNNNNNNNNNNNNNNNNNNNNNNNNNNNNNNNNNNNNNNNNNNNNNNNNNNNNNNNNNNNNNNNNNNNNNNNNNNNNNNNNNNNNNNNNNNNNNNNNNNNNNNNNNNNNNNNNNNNNNNNNNNNNNNNNNNNNNNNNNNNNNNNNNNNNNNNNNNNNNNNNNNNNNNNNNNNNNNNNNNNNNNNNNNNNNNNNNNNNNNNNNNNNNNNNNNNNNNNNNNNNNNNNNNNNNNNNNNNNNNNNNNNNNNNNNNNNNNNNNNNNNNNNNNNNNNNNNNNNNNNNNNNNNNNNNNNNNNNNNNNNNNNNNNNNNNNNNNNNNNNNNNNNNNNNNNNNNNNNNNNNNNNNNNNNNNNNNNNNNNNNNNNNNNNNNNNNNNNNNNNNNNNNNNNNNNNNNNNNNNNNNNNNNNNNNNNNNNNNNNNNNNNNNNNNNNNNNNNNNNNNNNNNNNNNNNNNNNNNNNNNNNNNNNNNNNNNNNNNNNNNNNNNNNNNNNNNNNNNNNNNNNNNNNNNNNNNNNNNNNNNNNNNNNNNNNNNNNNNNNNNNNNNNNNNNNNNNNNNNNNNNNNNNNNNNNNNNNNNNNNNNNNNNNNNNNNNNNNNNNNNNNNNNNNNNNNNNNNNNNNNNNNNNNNNNNNNNNNNNNNNNNNNNNNNNNNNNNNNNNNNNNNNNNNNNNNNNNNNNNNNNNNNNNNNNNNNNNNNNNNNNNNNNNNNNNNNNNNNNNNNNNNNNNNNNNNNNNNNNNNNNNNNNNNNNNNNNNNNNNNNNNNNNNNNNNNNNNNNNNNNNNNNNNNNNNNNNNNNNNNNNNNNNNNNNNNNNNNNNNNNNNNNNNNNNNNNNNNNNNNNNNNNNNNNNNNNNNNNNNNNNNNNNNNNNNNNNNNNNNNNNNNNNNNNNNNNNNNNNNNNNNNNNNNNNNNNNNNNNNNNNNNNNNNNNNNNNNNNNNNNNNNNNNNNNNNNNNNNNNNNNNNNNNNNNNNNNNNNNNNNNNNNNNNNNNNNNNNNNNNNNNNNNNNNNNNNNNNNNNNNNNNNNNNNNNNNNNNNNNNNNNNNNNNNNNNNNNNNNNNNNNNNNNNNNNNNNNNNNNNNNNNNNNNNNNNNNNNNNNNNNNNNNNNNNNNNNNNNNNNNNNNNNNNNNNNNNNNNNNNNNNNNNNNNNNNNNNNNNNNNNNNNNNNNNNNNNNNNNNNNNNNNNNNNNNNNNNNNNNNNNNNNNNNNNNNNNNNNNNNNNNNNNNNNNNNNNNNNNNNNNNNNNNNNNNNNNNNNNNNNNNNNNNNNNNNNNNNNNNNNNNNNNNNNNNNNNNNNNNNNNNNNNNNNNNNNNNNNNNNNNNNNNNNNNNNNNNNNNNNNNNNNNNNNNNNNNNNNNNNNNNNNNNNNNNNNNNNNNNNNNNNNCUCGCGCGGGCGCUCGCUGUCCCGGCUGGCCGGGUUCUUCAUAAUGGUGUAAUGGUGCACCAUUACACCAUUAAUGGUAUAAUUACACCAUUACACCGCUGUAAUGGUGUAAUUACACCAUUAAUGGUGUAAUGGUUACAUCAUUAAUGGUGUAAUUUCACCAUUAUGGUGUAAUUUCACCAUUAAUGGUGUAAUGGUGCACCAUUACACCAUUAAUGGUGAAAUUACACCAUUACACCAUUAAUGGUGUAAUGGUGUAAUUGCACCAUUAACGGUGCACGCGGCCCGUGGAGCGGAGCCGUGGGUGGAGCUCCGCCGGGCGCAGCACGAGGAGGGGGAUGACGACGGCGGCGGCGGCAGGGUCUGCUGCUGCUGCUGGAAGAGGAUGAGGGCGGCGGCAUCGUUGGAGGAGCGAGGGGAGGGAAGGGCGAGGCCGGCGGAGACGGAGGCGAGGGAGGGGUUGACAGCGCGGAGCUCGUCGGGCUUGUGGGCGAAGAAGCAGACACGGCGGGCGCAGCCGGUCUCGUCCUUGCAGAGGCGGGUGCGGUACUGGGCUGGGUGGAGCCAGGACUCGAACAGCCGGUCACGAGGAGGGAAGAAGAAGAAGAAGAAGAAGAAGAAGAAGAGGGAAAAAAAAAAAAGGUGCUCCAGCAGGAGGAAGAAGAAGAAGAAAAAGAAAAAGAGAAAAAAAAAUUGCUCCGCCUAGGCUUCGUAUUUUUUCCGGCGGAAAAAAAAAAGAACGAGAGAACGAAGAGGAGAGAGAAAGAGGAAAGAAAAAAAGUAAUAAGGGUAUUUUGGUCAGUUUGCUGAAAAAGCGGAACGAAUCUACAAAAAUGAAAAAGGUGGCCCGAUUUUGCAAAAGCCCAAAAUAAGUGGAUUUUUUAUGCAAAUUGGCCAUAUAUAUAUAUAUAGAGAGAGAGAGAGAGAGAGAGUGAGGCUACUAUGCUAUCGGAAGCACGGAGCCUUCCGUGCUUCCAGCUCGUUUUCGAUGUUGCCACUUUCGAAUCGUUGAUCGGCUCCGUUAAACUUGAUCUAGAGUAUUUGAAGUACCUAGAAAAUAAAUUUUAUGAUUUUACGAUAUCAUUUGCCUAGUGAACGAAGGGGCUCAAAAUCAACGGCUGAAAAUAAAAAUCUUACAAAAUAUAAUAAUAUGACAUUAAAAUUCUAAAUCAAAGAUAUUGAUCUUGUUUUAUAUAGUAUAAAGAAUUUUCNNNNNNNNNNNCCCCCCCCCCCCCACUCUAGACCCGGCCCACGAAACAUCCCCAUCGCGAGCCGGGCCCAUCGGAUCCGGGACCACACCCGAACCGCGCUCGCCGUGUUCCUUCUCUUUACCCCCUUCAGUGGCAAACCGGCAAUUUCCCACCAACCGCGGUGGCCUUUUCCUACCUACGAACACCUCCUCGCCCAAUGGCGCGGUCGACACCUUUAGUAGGGCGAAGCGGUGCGGGACCCAGCGCCCCAUGUGCCCGCGCCCGCGCCCGCCUCCGCUGCAUAUCACGGGCGGGCCCCACGCGUCAGCGACGGAGCCGGGGACAUACACCCGUUACACCGAGCGUCCCCCUCUGUGUCUCCACCGGCUCCUGCCGCUCAAUGAUUAGUCCUCUUCUCCCCUCCCUCCAUACUCCCAUACUCUUUGCUCUUUACUCUCUCUCUCUCUCUCUGUAUCUCUCUCUCUCUCUCUCUCUCUCUCUAUAUAUAUAUAUAUAUAUAUAUAGGUUACAAAAAGAAAAAACAAAAAAAUAGUGACCGUUGCAGCUGCACAAAAUCAAACAAAAAAAGGUACAAUUGUAACAGCCGCACUCCGCAUUUUCCAUCAAAAAAAUUGAAGCAUUGAUAAAUCAAAUCCUUAUUGAAUAAUUUUUUCAUCAUUGUUAAUUUCUUUCUCCUUGUGUCCUGUAAGUCCAAUUCAUCAUUUCAUGGGCACAAGAGGUAAAAAUAAAAAUUUAAAUUCAAAAAGUUUUUUUUUUUUUUUUAAAAAAAAAAAACUUGUUCAAAGAGCAUGAAAAGAAGACAAAUUAAGAUUUCCAAUUAACUUCAUAUAUAUCAGAUAAAAUUUCCAUGCACUCAACUCAGUUACAAUAUUUACUCCAAAUCAAAAACCAAAAGAGAGACAAACUAAGCACUCCACUCCAAUUAACUCAUCACAUAAAACCUAUUGGGCCCACUUGUUCUUUCUUACUACCAUUAAUUUGCUUUGCUCUCUUCUGCUGCAUCAGUAGGCACAGCCACCAAAACCUGCAGCAGUGACAGACAUGGCAGAUGUCAGCAAAAUGCUAUUAUUAUUGAAAAAAAAAAAACAGUAUUCAUUAUACAAAGAAUUUGUUUGUCUCUGCCAAAAAUUAUAUAACAGUGUUGUUUAAAUAUAACUAUUUUAAAUUAUAGUAUACAUUCCAAACAGCUUCCCGCAGUAGCAGAGUCAUAAGCAGAAAUAAGACCAACCAGGCCUGGGUUUUUCAACUUUCAAUCGCAAAAAUCUUUGACGAAGCACCGGCAAACACAAAAGUUCGAAGCUUUGAUGUAGUGAGAAGCAAAAACAGUUAAUUAAUUUCCAGAUCACAAAAGCAAAAUCUCCAAUUAAUCUUAAGCGUCUAUUUUUAUUAAAAAUAAUAGCAGCUAAACCCUAGCAAAGGAUUGUGGUAUAUAAAGCCUGUAUAAUUGUACUUUGGAUCCAGGCUCAAGACAUUAUCGAAAGUAUUUUCAAUCUUUUCUUUUAUAACGCUAUAAAAUUGGUAAUAAUUUUAUAGUAUUGGAGGAAAAAAAAGAUUGAAAACGUUUUAAAUUUUCUGGACCUUACAAAACACAAAACAAAUGUUUCCGGCAACGCAAUUCCUAACUAAAAUACUCUAUAAGCAGUACUUUUGGGGUAAGCACCAUUCAAAGAUCCCCUCAAUUGUUUCUAUCUACGACUAAAUCUCAUUCCAGCUAUUUGCCACAUAGAGAAUCCAAAUGUGACAGUUUCAGAAAAGUUCUGUAUCUAAAAUAUAAUAAAACUAAAUCUUUUAAUUUGAUUGUAGUAUUUUGGAUAGCGACUAGGCCUAAAAGAUUAGAUGGUUAAACAUAGGACGAGUAGUUUCAAAAUAGAUGACCGCUUAAAAGUGUAAUGUCACACUAGAAUUUCUUAUAUAUAUAUAUGACCAUUAGCUGAAAGCAGAAGCAGAAGCGGGAUUGACUAAACGGUAGUAGUCUAUCCCUUGCAAAGAUAGACCGGAAAAAGAGUUGCGAAAGAAGGAUCAUCGAUCGAUCGAUCUGCACUCACUGGGGUCGGUGGUGACGAUGAGGCCGGAGCUCCGGAAGUAGCAGUUCCAGGCGUUGCGGCCGCGGGACUGGUAGUAGAGGUUCAUGGCGACGGAGGCGUGGGAGAUGAGGCUGUCUGGGUAGAAGCAGGGCCCCCCUCUCUGCAGCACCCCGCAGUCGACCUGCGAGCACGCGUAGUUCAGGUUCGCCGCCAGCGUCGCCUCGUCCGUCGACGGCUUCGCCACGCAAUACGUCCGCUGCUGCAAAACAAAUCGUAUUUAUGCGUAUAUGUGACAUACGAUCAUGUAUGUAUAGAAUACGGUAUCAAUGACUAAUAGUUAGAUGUAUCUUUUGUAAAGGAAAAAAAAAGAAGAUUUAUUGUAAAUCUUUUAAAAGACGAAGAAGGUGGACUAGAGCAUCUUUAUAGUAAGACAGUUUUAUCUGCCAUUUAUUAUUCUUUGAGAUCCGUACAGAUCGCAUGAUGGACGGUGGACAAGAACGUCUUAUAUACUUCGAAGACGGUCUCUAUGAAAUGUUUAUAUCUCGCGAGAAAGAUAACAACAUUAUCUACUUUUGUACCUUUUUGUUAGGAAGGAACAUAGCUAAAAAUAUAAAAUAAUUAGACUUCGAUACUGAUACGGGAUACUUUAAUUGGGCAAUAGUUACGAAUCACGAGGAUAGAGAUUUCAUUUUUGUCGAUGCGUAUAGUAUGAUUUAUUUGAUAUUUAUCAUGUGAAGUACCAAAGCUAUAUUACUCAUAUAAGUUAUUUAUUAGAUUUAAAUUUAGAUAACAAAAAGAUGGUAAUUAAUUUGUGAUAGGAAAUGAUGAGUGUGGGAAAUGUAGAGAGAUUUUACCUGUCCCUGCACUGGUCUCAUGGUUUCUCCUGUCAAGUAAAGUUAAUGAAGGUAUAUAAGCCCAUGAAUAAAUAAAUAAAUAAAUAAAUAUAUAUAUAUAUUGAUAAAAAAAAUAAUAUAAAAUGUUAAUAAAGUUAAUUUACCCUUGUACUAAAAAAAAGUAAUACUAAAAAAUAAAACAGUAUACAUAUACAUAUACUAGAGAGUGAAAUCCCAAAACCCAAAAUCCAAAACCAUUUUUUAAGAUUCAACUUAGGUGAUCACUAAGAAGGCGCCAGUUUUCCUAAAAAUUAUUUGCAAUAAUAAUAAUUUUCUAGCUGAAAAAAAAAAUACUGUUUUUUCCACAAUUUAAUUUUUACAAAAAAAAAAAAAAAUUUCCCCAAGAGACCAAACACCCUCUUUCAACAAAGAAUAGUUAGUACCUGAAAUGAGAGAGAGUAGGAGCAGAGCCAAAGAGAGUGUCAACAUGGAUGCCAUGUUCAAUGCCUCUGCUCUUCUUGCCAUUAUAUAUAUAUAAAUAUAUAUAUAUCCUUUCUCUUUAACUUGUUAGAAACAAUUAAUGGUGAUAAAAAUGGAGAGAGAGAGAGAGAGAGAGAGAGAGAGAGAGAGAGAGAGAGAGAGAGGGGUGAAGUGGUGAAUGAAAAAAAAAGGAAGGUGAAAAGGGAGGAGAGAGAGAUAGAGAGGGUGAAAAGGGGUGAGGGUUUAAAUUUAAAAAGGUGGUGGUGGGGGGAGAAUAAUGAAACGGCUAUGUCUACGGCAACGGCUAUAUUUUUGCAGCUUUUGUUUGUUUUUUUCUUUCAAUUUUCUUUUAUUUUUUUUAUUUUGUUUUUGUUUUUUUUUUGUUACAGUGCGAGCAGCGAGAGGAGAGAUAGAUGAGGGGGACUCUGCGGUGAGCGUGGGGACGGAAAGUAACGGAGAGAGGGGUAUCAGCGCGCAGAGCAUCAACGGUCGUUUUUUUUUUUCUCUUUUUUUGUGGGCCUCUUUUUUCGGCAAAAUCUGAUUAACACAGUUUGGUAAGUCGUAUAAUUUGUUUUACAUUUGAUUCUUAAAAUUUGUUCUGCAGUGAGCAUGGGGACGGAAAGUUACGGAGAGGGAUAUCGGCGCGCAGAGCAUCAACGGUCAUUUUUUUUUUCUCUUUUUUUGUGGGCCCGUUUUUUCGGCAAAAUUUGAUAAACACAGUUUGGUAAGCAGUAUAAUUUGUUUUACAUUUGAUUUUUAAAAUUCUAUUACCAUAUUGAAUAGUAAAUUCAUGAGGACUCAUUAAGAAAAGCUGAGUUGUUCGUCUUUAAAAUUAAUUUGAGAAAACUUCAAUUAGUCGUUUAUAGUUUUUUCCGUGUUUAAGCUUGUUAUUUUGUAGUUUAAAGUAUUUUAUUUUGCUACAUGUGGUUCGAGAAAAUUAUAAUUCACUUUAGUGCAUCUUACUUAAUGCAACAAAGUGAAACUGUUUAGGUCGCAGAACAGCAAAGUAAUAAUAUGCUAAACUACCGACCGUCCCUAGAGCAAGUGGCAAAAGGUUUGGUGGUUGGUAUCCGAGACCCAAGUUCGAAUCCUAGUUGCUUCACAUUUUCAGCUAAAUUUAUUUCUAAAUGAAAUAAACGAAACGGAUAGCGUGCUACCUAUCUCUCAAAAAAAAAUAAUAUACUAAACUACACUGGGAAAGUUUUUUUUUUUUUUUUUUUUUUUUUUUUAUCCAUUUCACUAAUUUUUUUUCGUUAAAUCAGUGACAAAGUUAAAACUAAAGGGUACUAAAGUGAAUAUUCGAUAAACCUAAGUNUAUAUAAUUUUGGGUAAACUUCAAAUACCACCCCUAUGGUUUCGUACUUUCUCACUUUAAUAUUUUAUAGUUUAAAGUGUAUCAAUUUAGUAUUAUGUGGUUUUAUUUUUCUCUUUUCGUCAAUCCCUCCGUUAGGUUUUCAUUAAAUUAUAUACAAAAAAACUUCAGAUACCCUAUCUAUAGUUUAUUGAAAAUUUACUUUAGUACUCUUUAAUUUUAACUUUGUCGCUGAUUUAACGAAAAUAAUUAGUGAAAGGAGAUAAUAUUUCAAAUAAAAAUAAAACCUCAAAUGGAGCCAUUACAAAAAAUAAAAAGAAAAAAAAAGGAAAAAAAAACAAAGACAAUAGUUAACAUAGGAAUUGAUCAAAACCUAAACGAUUCCACAUAACGCUUAAGAUGAGUAUUUAUUUCUUAUUUUAAACAGGAAAAAUUAUUUGAUACUUAACAUUUUUGUUUUAUUAGCACGAGUCCACUGGGAGUGGCACUAAUCCCAGUAACCCGUGAACGCAUAGUACGGCUUGGUUUUUAAUUUACAUAUAGGGAUGCAAACGGAUUCGGAUUGGUAAAUUCGGAAUAAAAAACUGGGUAAAUUUUAUAAUUUGAGACGGAUUCGGGGCAGAAAACGAAAGAAAUUUUGACUCGCCCCAAAUCCAUCCCGAAUCUACCCCGUUAUGAUCCGUCCCGAAAAUUAUUUAUAUUUCUAAAAAAUAAAGUAUUUAUAAAAAAAUUUUAAAAUACAAAUAAAUUAGUGCUCUUAUUUCUCAUGCAUUUGAAAUGAAUUGUGAUUAAUAUUUUUUAUUUUUAUAAUUAAUAUUGUUAAUUAUACAUAUAAUAUUAUUAAAAUAUUAAUUUAUAUUUUCUAAAGUAUUAAUAAUAUUAUAAUUUUAUAAAAAAUAUUAGUUGGCGGGGCGCGCGGGAGGCGAUUUACGAAGCGGGACGGAUUAUGGGAUAUAUUUUUUAACCCGUCACGAAUUCGGGAUGGGAGACGGGGCGGGAUUUUGAUAGUCGGGGAGGGUUCGCCCCCAUAUUCGCCCCGUUUGCAUCCCUAUUUACAUGAAGGUGAAAGUUCAUAAAAUUUACUAUUUAAUUUUAGAAAAUUUUAAUUUUAGUAUCUAAUAUUUUAAUUUAUUUGAUUUCCAUUAUUCGAUGGCUCUUCGAGCAUAAAAUUUAAGCUCAUUAUUUAUUUUAAUAAAUUUAUAGUUACGUAAGUUGCGUAAAAUAUAUAAACUAAAUCCGUAAAGAUAAACGGGCCGUUCAAAUUUUGAACUGACUCAAAUUAAAUAAAUUAAGAGAUUAAAUAGUAAAAUUAGGUUAGUUAGUUAGAUCAAAAUGGGUGAUAGUUGAGAUAAAUUUUACUCAUUUUUAUCUAAAAUAAAUUAAAAAAAACAUUAUACUGUAUAGAUCUAUUGCAGAUCAAUUUUGUCGCAUAAAUUAGCAAAGAUUUCAAUACUAACAUGAUAAUUUUUAGAAAUAUUAUAAAAAAAAACCAAACACUCACUGAAAUUUAGCACUUUUGCAAACAGAUCAAUUUAAGUUAUUAAUUAUACAACUAUUUUGGUUGCUUUUGUUGCGCAUAAUCUUAUAAACCUUUUGAAUUAAACAACAAAGAAAUCUUUUUUAAAAAAAUUCUAGCUUGUGGAAAAAAGAAUAUAAAUUAAAAGUAAAUUCACAUUAUUCUUCAAUAAUGAUACUUAAUUAUCAUAACUAGAAGUAAAAAAAAAAUUGUUGUGUUUUAAUGUUAUAANCUUAGCAGCUAGCCGAGGCAAUUUGAACUAGAUCUCAUAAACUUCAUGGAUCUUUUAUUUAAAAUACUAAAAUGCUAUAAUAAACGAAUCACUUGCUUCCCCGAGUUUUAGUUGCCAACUUUUAUUUUUAGAAUGUUUUACAUUAUUAUACUGUAAUUUUAAAAUUUAGUUUCUAUAACUAGAACAAAAUAUAUCAUAUUUCUUAAAAGAUAGUUUUAAAGUGCACUAAACCUAUAAAGAAAGUCGCAACAUCGAAAACGAGCUGGAAGCACGGAAGGCUCCGUGCUUCCGAUAGCAUAGUAGCCACACUCAUAUAAAAUUAUGUGCAAGAUAUUUGAUUGAAACAACUGUUCAAUUGGUAACUUUGCUCGAGGAGAGGGGACCUAUUAAACUAUUUGAUAACAUUUAAGAUUUCUAAUUAUCAAAAUUAAAAGUUCGGACGCUUAUAUGCGAAAGUGCUAAAGUUCAAGAGGUCUUUAUGCUUUGUUUUUUUCUAAUGAAUUAUUCUUGUAUUUGUGGAUCGUAAACUUUAACCAACAAUUCUAAAAUGUCGAUAUGAAAGAAAGGGCGCACCGUCCAUCACACUUAAAAUGUAUAGAUGCAUAGCGCACACAUCACAUUUUAAGAUAAUUAUUUGCUUUAAUAUAUUUAUAGUUAUAAAAAUUGUAUAAAAUAUGUUAAAUCUGUAAAAAUAAACGACGCAUUCAAGUUUUGAAGUCAAAAUACCGUUGACUAAUUCUUUUUUUUUUUUUUUUUGAGAGAGAGAUAGGUAGCAUGCUAUCCGCUUCGUUUAUUUCAUUUAGAAAUAAACUUAGCUGGAAAUGUGAAUCAGUUAGGAUUCGAACUUGGGGCUCGGGUACCAACCACCAAGCCUUUUGCCACUUGCUCUAAGGACGGUCCGUCCGUUGACUAAUUCAAAUUAAAUAAAUUGAAAUGUUGGAUGGUAAAUCAAAAUUAAAAAAAAUUAUGUAACUAAAUCAAAAUGAUCCAUACAUUUAGGUAAGUCCCUUAAGUGUUUACUAUUAUAUAAUAGUAUUGAUCGGCUCGCAAAAUAUGUUUACGAAAUCAAAUUUCUAACUUUUAAUCACCAAAAUGAGUUAAAAAAAUUAUUAUCAAAUAAUUUAUUCUGAUAUUUAAACAUUGAUAAAUAGGAAACACAAAAGUUUUUUUUUUUUGAUAAACUUCAAAUACCCCUUGUGGUUUCACACUUUCUCACUUUAGUACCCUGUGUUUUAAAGUGUAUCAUGUUAGUCCCUAUGGUUUCGCACUUUCUCACUCUAGUUUCUUUUUUUUUUUUUAUCCAUUUCACUAAUUUUUUUUCGUUAAAUCAGUGACAAAGUUAAAACUAAAGGGUACUAAAGUGAAUAUUCGAUAAACCUAGAUAAGGUACCUGAAGUUUUUUGUAUAUAAUUUAAAGAAAUAUUAAUAGAGGAGCCGACGAAAAGAAAAAAAAUGAAACCACAGAAUACUAAAUUGAUAUACUUUAAACCAGAGAAUACUAAAAUGAGAAAGUGUGAAACCACAUAGUACUAAAUUGAUACACUUUAAAUUACAGAAUACUAAAGUGAAAAAGUACAAGACCACAUAGGUGGUAUUUGAAAAUUUUUUUUUUUUUUUUCAAAAAGUUACUUAUACACACCAUUAUAAGGCAAGUUAAAUAUCAGAGAAAAGUGCUAAAAACAUAAAAAAAAUCUGCAACACCCAAUCAACAGUCGCCAAAAAAGAUCAUAACCACAAUUCAUACAAAAACAUGUAAAAUUUUUGGAACCCUAGUUGUGGUUGUGGCUCACACUACGCCACGUGUUCGACCCAAAACACACCACCUCAAAUCCCAUCCACCAAUGAGAUCAAAGCCCCGGAUUCCCCCAGAUAACGACCCUACCCCUUAAAUACCCCCAAAACUACCCCCAUACCCUCCUCAGAGCACUAAAACACACUCCAGCUCCUCCUACACUCAACCCAAAACAUCCCCCGAAAUGGCCGCCGCCACGAUGGCCCUCUCCUCCCCCUCCCUCGCCGGCGAGGCGUUGAAGCUCUUCCCUGCCGCCGCAUCCGUCGGCGGCGGCCGUGUCACCGUGCGGAAGACGGGUGCAAAGCCCAAGGCUGGGUCGUCCGGUAGCCCAUGGUACGGCCCUGACCGCGUUUUGUACUUGGGCCCACUCUCUGGGGAGCCCCCGUCCUACCUCACCGGCGAAUUCCCUGGUGACUAUGGUUGGGACACCGCAGGGCUUUCUGCCGAUCCUGAGACAUUUGCCAAAAACCGUGAGCUCGAAGUCAUCCACUGCAGGUAAGAGCGGCAAUUCAGACACUUUAAUGUCGAAUAUAAAAUAUUACAACACGGUUCUCUAGUUAUUUAAGCCUUUUAUAGAGAUAGACAUUAUUUCAGUGUAUAAAAAAAAAAGCUGUUGAGGUCUACCAAAAUUUUCUUUUAUUUAUUUGUUUUAAAUUCACGUCCUAAGCCUAUCAAUAAUGAAAAAUUUUGUGACGUGUUCAAUAAAUUGUCACCUCUCUCUCUGUAUGUCUGUAGGUGGGCCAUGUUGGGUGCUUUGGGCUGCGUCUUCCCCGAACUCUUGGCCCGCAACGGUGUCAAAUUCGGCGAGGCCGUGUGGUUCAAAGCGGGAGCCCAAAUCUUCAGCGAAGGCGGGCUCGACUACCUUGGCAACCCGAGCCUGAUCCACGCACAGAGUAUCUUGGCAAUCUGGGCCUGCCAGGUCAUUCUAAUGGGUGCCGUCGAGGGUUACCGGAUUGCAGGUGGGCCCCUCGGUGAGGUGACCGACCCGCUUUACCCAGGCGGGAGCUUCGACCCACUAGGAUUAGCUGAUGACCCGGAGGCCUUCGCGGAGCUGAAGGUGAAGGAGAUCAAGAAUGGCAGGUUGGCCAUGUUCUCGAUGUUCGGGUUCUUCGUGCAAGCAAUCGUGACCGGCAAGGGGCCGCUAGAGAAUUUGGCCGACCACCUCGCCGACCCGGUGAACAACAAUGCUUGGGCCUACGCCACCAACUUUGUGCCCGGCAAGUGAGUCCGGUUCGGGUUCGGGUUCGGGUUCGGGUUCGGGUUCAAGUCCGGUUCGCCGGUGUUGUCACUUUGUUUGGAUUGAGAUUGGUUGAGAGAGAUUAAUUGGUUGGAAUAAACCUAUUUGUGGGAUUUUGUAACAUGAUGUAAAUUAAUGCAAUUGAUGAUCAUAAGAGUGUACCAACUAUUUCCUCCACUAGUUUGCUCCUUUUUUUUUUAUUUUUUCCAAAUUUUUGAAGAUCUAGGUUCAUGAUUCAUUAAAGGGGACUUUUUUUUUUUCAAAAUGAUCAUAUAAAAUUUUUUAAUUGGAUAAAUAAUUUUUUAAAUUUUUUGGCAAACAAAAUUUUCUUUUGUCAUGUAUUUUUUUUGUCAUGUAGGAGCGACUAUUAAAUUUUAACAAUCACAUAAAAAAUUUAAAAAAUUACAUAUAAUCUUAACAAUCUAAAAAAUCUUAAUAAUCAAUCCAUGAUUGUCUUAACAAUCUAAAAAAAUCUAAUAAAUAAUUUUAGGACUAAUAUAACAACAUAUGUAAUUAUGACUUAUUACAAUAUGUGAAAUAUGAUAUUUGUAACGGAGCCGUUACAAAGAAUGAAAAAAAAAGAAAAUUACUUACACAGGAAUUGAUCAAAACCUAUAAAAGAUUCCACAUAUUGCUUAAAAUGAGGAUUUAUUUCUUAUUCUAAACAUAAAAAAUUAUUUGAUAUUUAACAUUUUUGUUUUAUUAACACGAGCCCACUGGGCGUGGCACUAAUCCCAGUAACCCGUGAACGCAUAGUACGGCUUAGUUUUUAAUUAAAAUUAAGGUAAAAAUGAAUAAAAUUUAUAUAAAUUUAUAGGUGAUUUUAAUUUAACUAUCUAAUUUUUAAAAAUUUUAAUUUAAUAUUUAAUAUUUAAUUUACUUGAUUCGGUAAUUUGAUGGCUCUUUGAAUACAAAAUUUAAGCUAAUUACUUAUUUUAAAUAAUUUAUAGUUACGUGAGUUGCGUAAAAUAUAUAAACUAAGUCUGUAAGGAUAAACGGGCUAUUCAAAUUUUGAACUGACUCAAAUUAAAUAAAUUGAGAGAUUAGAUAAUAAAAUUAAAAUUUUGAAGGUCAGUUAGUUAGACCAAAAUAAGGCUUAGUUUGGUAUUGAGACCUAUCUGGCACUAUUAAAUAAAAUAGAGUUAGGGUUAAAGUAUAUAGGGAUAUGUUUUUGCGUUUUCCGGUGGAGUUGCAGAAAAUAUAUUGUAACCGACACAUCACGAUAUGCGGAAUGCAAUAUUACCUACAAAAAAAAAGUAUUUUUCUAUCGUAUUUUCUCACGCACAUAAUGCAAUUUUUUCACAAUUCCAAACGAAGCCUAAGUGAUAAUGAAGAUAAGUUUUACACAUUUUUAUCUAAAUUUUUAAUAAAAGUUAGAUUGUAUAGAUCGAUUGCAGAUCAAUUUUAUCGUAUAAUCGCAUGAUGAUUUUUAGAAAUAUUAUUUAAAAAAAAAACACUCACCGAAGUUUAGCACUUUUUUCAAACAGAUCAAUCUAUGUUACUAAUUAUACAACUAUUUUGGUCGUUUUUGUUGCCUAUAAUCUUGUAAGCAUUUUAAAUUAAAACACAAAAAAUCUUUUUUUUUUUUAUUUCUAGCACGUGAAAAAAAGAAUAUAAAUUGAAAGUAAAUUCAUAUUUUUCUUCAAUAAUGAUAUUAAAUUACCAUAACAAGAAGUAAAAAAAUUAUAGUAUUUUAAAUGUUAUACAAAAUUAUGCAUCAGAUAUGUGAUCGGAACAACUGUUCAAUUGAUAACUUUGUCAAGGAGAGGCAACAUACUAAAAUGCUAAAGUUCAAGAGGUCUUUAUAUGUUUAUUUUCUAAAAAAUUCUUCUUGUAUUUGUAGAUUAUAAACGCUAACCAACAAUUCUAAAAAAUCAAUACCCAUCGCACUUAAAAUGUAUAGAUGAACAGCGCACACAUCACGUUUUAAGAUAAUUGUUACUUUAAUAAAUUUAUAGUUCCAAAAAUUGUAUUAAGUAUACUUACUAAAUUUGCAAAUAUAAACAGCAUAUUUAAAUUUUAAAGUCGAAGUACCGUUGACUGACCUAAAUCAAACAAAUUGAGAGUUUAGAUAGCAAAAUCGAAAUUUUGAAAUGCUGCAUAGUCAAAUCAAAAUUGUUCAUAGUUCAUAGUUAACUAUGAACUAUGAACUAUGAACAAUUUUGAGAAAUUGAUACUCAAAAUUGUUCAUAGUUAAGAUAAAUUCUAUACGUUUUCACCUUUGUACAACAGUAUUUAUCAACUUGCGAAACACGUUAGCAAAAAUCAAAUUUCUAACUUUUAAUCACUAAAAAAAAAAAAUUAUUACUGAACAAAUUUUUUCCAAUAUCUAAACACGGCAUUCACAAAUAGAACACACAAAAAUUAUUAUUAUUAUUAUUAUUAUUAUAAAAAAUAACUUAUACACACUAUUAUAAGGGAAUUAAAGUAUCAAAGAUAAGUGCUAAAAAGAAAAAAAAAAAAAAAUCUGCAACACCCAAUCAACACUCAGCAAAAAAGAUCAUAACCACAACUCACACAAAAGGAACCAAAAAAUCUCAACCCUAGUUGUGGUUGGGGCUCACACUGCGCCACGUGUCCGACUCAACACGUGUCCGACCCAAAACACACCACCUCAAAUUCCAUCCACCAAUGAGAUCAAAGCCCCGGAUUUCCCAACAACCCUCUCUACCCCAAACCACACCCUUUAAAUACCCCCAAAACUACCCCAUACACUCCUCACAACACUGAAACACACUCCACCUCCUCCAACACUACACCCAAAAUAUCCCCCGAAAUGGCCGCCGCCACGAUGGCCCUCUCCUCCCCCUCCCUCGCCGGCGAGGCAUUGAAGCUCUUCCCCGCCGCUGCAUCCGUCGGCGGCGGCCGUGUCACCAUGCGGAAGACGGGUGCGAAGCCCAAGGCUGCGUCGUCCGGUAGCCCCUGGUACGGCCCUGACCGUGUUUUGUACUUGGGCCCGUUGUCUGGGGAGCCCCCGUCCUACCUCACUGGCGAGUUUCCUGGCGACUACGGUUGGGACACUGCGGGGCUUUCUGCCGACCCCGAGACUUUUGCCAAAAACCGCGAGCUCGAGGUCAUCCACUGCAGGUAGGGGUGACAAUUCAGACAAUUUAAUGUCGAACAUAAAAUAUUACAGCACAGGUCUCUAACUAUUUAGGCUUUUUUGAAAUAAUUGUGAUUUUAGUGUAUCAGAAAAAGUGUCGUUGAGUUCUACCAAAAUUUCUUUCAUUUAAUUUAAAUCCAUGUCUUAGGUCUAUUAAUGUUUUGAUCCAGAAAAAAAAAGAGAAUUUUAUGACGUGUUCGAUAAAUUGUCAUCUCUCUCUCUUUGUAGGUGGGCGAUGUUGGGUGCUUUGGGAUGUGUCUUCCCGGAACUCUUGGCCCGCAACGGUGUCAAAUUCGGCGAGGCUGUGUGGUUCAAAGCCGGAGCCCAAAUCUUCAGUGAAGGUGGGCUCGACUACCUCGGCAACCCGAGCUUGAUCCACGCGCAGAGCAUCUUAGCAAUCUGGGCUUGCCAGGUCAUUCUGAUGGGCGCCGUCGAGGGUUACCGGGUUGCGGGCGGUCCCCUCGGUGAGGUGACCGACCCACUUUACCCAGGAGGGAGCUUCGACCCGCUAGGGUUGGCGGAUGACCCGGAAGCCUUCGCGGAGCUGAAGGUGAAGGAGAUCAAGAAUGGCAGGUUGGCCAUGUUCUCGAUGUUCGGGUUCUUCGUGCAAGCAAUCGUGACCGGCAAGGGGCCGUUGGAGAAUUUGGCUGACCACCUCGCCGACCCGGUGAACAACAAUGCUUGGGCCUACGCCACCAACUUCGUGCCUGGCAAGUGAGUCGGGUUCAGGUUCGGGUUGGGGUCUGGUUCGUCGGUGUUGUCACAUUGUUUGGAUUGUGA
rnacentral:lncRNA from 1 species